rnacentral:rRNA from 1 species
GCUGCUUUGCUGACGAGUGGCGGACGGGUGAGUAAUGUCUGGGAAACUGCCUGAUGGAGGGGGAUAACUACUGGAAACGGUAGCUAAUACCGCAUAACGUCGCAAGACCAAAGAGGGGGACCUUCGGGCCUCUUGCCAUCGGAUGUGCCCAGAUGGGAUUAGCUAGUAGGUGGGGUAACGGCUCACCUAGGCGACGAUCCCUAGCUGGUCUGAGAGGAUGACCAGCCACACUGGAACUGAGACACGGUCCAGACUCCUACGGGAGGCAGCAGUGGGGAAUAUUGCACAAUGGGCGCAAGCCUGAUGCAGCCAUGCCGCGUG